rfam:Capsicum annuum cultivar Zunla-1 chromosome 3, whole genome shotgun sequence
GCCGCUAUGGUAAAAUUGGUAGACACGCUGCUCUUAGGAUGCAGUGCUAAUGCAUCUCGGUUCGAGUCCGAGUGGCGGUA